CCUACGGGGGGCAACAGUGGGGAAUAUUGCACAAUGGGGGAAACCCUGAUGCAGCGACGCCGCGUGAGCGAUGAAGUAUUUCGGUAUGUAAAGCUCUAUCAGCAGGGAAGAAAAUGACGGUACCUGACUAAGAAGCCCCGGCUAACUACGUGCCAGCAGCCGCGGUAAUACGUAGGGGGCAAGCGUUAUCCGGAUUUACUGGGUGUAAAGGGAGCGUAGACGGCGAUGCAAGCCAGAUGUGAAAGCCCGGGGCUCAACCCCGGGACUGCAUUUGGAACUGUAUAGCUGGAGUGUCGGAGAGGCAGGCGGAAUUCCUGGUGUAGCGGUGAAAUGCGUAGAUAUCAGGAGGAACACCAGUGGCGAAGGCAGCUUGCUGCAGCGGAACUGACGCUGAUGCUCGAAAGCGCGGGUAUCGAACAGGAUUAGAUACCCGGGUAGUC
rnacentral:rRNA from 1 species